rnacentral:rRNA from 1 species
AACGAACGCUGGCGGCAUGCCUAACACAUGCAAGUCGAACGAGACCUUCGUGUCUAGUUGCGCACGGGUGCGUAACGCGUGGGAACCUGCCCUUAGGUUCGGAAUACCUCCCCGUAAGGGGUGCUAAUACCGGAUAAUUUCUUCGGACCAAAGAUUUAUCGCCUUUGGAUGGGCCCGCGUUGGAUUAGCUAGUUGGUAGGGUAAAAGCCUACCAAGGCGAGGAUCCAUAGCUGGUAUGAGAGGAUGAGCAGCGACACUGGGACUGAGACACGGCCCAGACUCCUACGGGAGGGAGCAGUGGGGAAUAUUGGACAAUGGGGGAAAGCAUGAUCCAGCAAGGCCGGGUGAGUGAUGAAGGCCUUAGGGUUGUAAAGCUCUUUUACCCGGGAUGAUAAUGACAGUACCGGGAGAAUAAGCUCCGGCUAACUCCGUG